ACCAAAGGGUGAACACAUGUGCUACAAUGGCAAUGACAAUGGGAAGCAAGGCUGUAAGGCGGAGCGAAUCCGGAAAGAUUUCCUUAGUUCGGAUUGUUCUCUGCAACUCGGGAACAUGAAGUUGAAAUCGCUAGUAAUCGCGGAUCAGCAUGCCGCGGUGAAUAUGUACC
rnacentral:rRNA from 1 species